UUUAAGAUCUGAACCACAAUAUUAACCAAGUA
rnacentral:piRNA from 1 species